GGGCUACACCCACAGCAUAUGGAGGUUCCCAGGCUAGGGGUUGAAUCGGAGCUAUAGCUGCCAGCCUACACCACAGCCACAGCAAUGCAGGAUCACCUCAAGGCCAGGGAUCGAACCCGUGUCCUCAUGGAUACUAGUCAGGUUCUUAACUCACUGAGCCACAAUGGGAACUCCUGCUCUUAAGUUUCAUUUGAGAAAAGGAUCAUAUCCAUUCCCUGAUACACACACACACACACACACACACACACACACACACACACACGCACCCACAUCAAGGCCUCAGUAGGCAAGGGCCAUGUUGCCUAGCAGUCACCCCAGCCGCUAUCUCUCCUUACAGACUGGCCAGAAGCAGGAAGACCUCGGCCAGCUUUUCCCCAGACCAGGCACCCACUUUGAUUCCUCUCCAGAAGUCUUGGGUUUUAAAAAGAUUUUCUUUUCCGAAGCUUGUGUAUUACCCACCCUUCACUAGGGGAGAGGCAGGUGGGAAAGAGAGACCCCCACCCUUCUGGGCUCUAAUGAGAUCCAGGCUGGCAGAGCACUGAGCCUGGCACCUGGCACACUGGAGAUACACUGCACGCAGGUCGUUAUUAUAUUAGCUGACCCCCUGGUCCCCUAGGGGUCAGGAAAGGCAACAAUGGGCCCUCUGCCUGCUUCCGGCCCUGAUAAAAAGCAAGUGGGAGUCACACUGGCCCUGGGAAGUGUGCACCCCCCAGGACACUGCCCGGCCUGGCGGUGGGGGGAGGACAGUCAGGGGCUUGUUUUUAGACAAGCCUGAACACAGGCGGGAGGUGAGGAGGAGGGGAAGGAAGAGAGGGAGGCGAAGGGCAGGGGCGGCAGCUCCCGGUCUGCCGAGUGGCCCCAGGGCCCACAGCUCCGGCCCAUCAGCCUGUCGACCAGGCUCCCAUCCCACAGGAAAGGGUGGGAGCUGGCGCCUCCUGGCUGGCCCGGGGCAAGCGGGGCAGCUUCAAAGGCAAUCCCAGACCAGAGAGGCGCCCGUCUUGUCCCAUAGGGAUCAGCUGGGCCCUGGCACGAGGCCGGCCUCAGGAGGCCCGCCACUGGGCUUUGAAGGAUGGGGGACCAGAGGGACACGGGGCUGAGGGAAACCUGGAGGGUAGAAACCAGAAAGGUCCUGCGAGGGUCCACCCUUGUCCUGUGCAGAGACUCAGCCCAGCCCCGCACGCAGAGCCUCUGGUGUCUGUCUGUCUCUCUCACACACAGACACACACGUUGUAGGAUCCCUGCCCCCGCUGCUCAGUGGGUUGGAGGGGGACCGGGGAACUGAAACCCCUUCUUUCCCUUCUCCCAUGCCCCCCUCCUGGACACGCCGUCCACUCGAGAGGCCUCCCCGCGGCCACACUGCGUUGUCCUCCAGUUGCUUCCUGGUCGGCUCCCAUCUCCCCAGGAAGCUCCCAGAGAAAUCAGAGUUCUUCUUAGGACCUCCACCCCACCCCAGAGCACGGACUUCCCAGAAUGAAACUCGGGGCCCCAGGAGGCUGUCCGUCCAAUGACGCAUCAUGCGCGCAAUUCCACCUUAUCCAGCAAACACCCCGUGUCCCCACGAUGGACCUGGCUCUGGGCUCAGCUCACAACAGCUAUCAGAUCUCACCCGUCCCCCACAAACACGUCACAGGACAAACAGAACUUCUGCAGAUGAGAAAACCAGGACUCAGAGAGGGGAAGGGACUCAGGCGAGGCCACACUGCAAGAACCUGGGGAAGCGGGGAGACCAGGUCCCCUCAGGUGGGCAACCACCACCAGCCCCAGCCCCAGGAGGAAACCAGGGGCCCACAGGGAAGACCCAUGUAGAUGGAUUAUUGUUCCCAUAAGCUCCCAGUCCUGCCUCACUCCCCCGACCCCAUGUUGUCCUCAGUGAAUCCCACAGAGGGUCCCAGAGGGGCCUGCACCGCCCUCGGCCCUCCCAGAUGCCCCAGAACACGGGCCAGGCCCCGCCCACCGGCAGACCCUCUUCUGCUCCCCAGCCAGGACGAGUCCAUGCCCAGGGCUCGAGAGGUCACAGAUCUGGGGGUCAUGAGGCGGUUAACACGGGCCACAAGAGGGCCUCGGGGGGAAAUCAUAGCAAACUGGCUGGACAGAAAUGUGAUUACAUGGACCAGAGACCUGGCACCGGACGGCAGUCGAGGUGUGUGUGCAGAGGGAGGGGCAGGGAGGGGCACAGACAGCA
rnacentral:lncRNA from 1 species